CCCUUAGAUGUUCUGGGCCGCACGCGCUCUACACUGACGAAUGCAACGAGCUUAUAACCUUGGCCGAAAGGUCUGGGUAAUCUCCAAAUUUCGUCGUGAUGGGGAUAGAUUAUUGCAAUUAUUAAUCUUCAACGAGGAAUGCCUAGUAAGCGCAAGUCAUCAGCUUGCGUUGAUUACGUCCCUGCCCUUUGUACACACCGCCCGUCGCUCCUACCGAUUGAAUGGUCCGGUGAAGCGUUCGGACCGUGGCCUUUGGACGGUUCGCCGUCUGUUGGCUGCGGGAAGUUCGUUAAACCUUAUCAUUUAGAGGAAGGAGAAGUCGUAACA
rnacentral:rRNA from 1 species